UACGUAGGGUGCAAGCGUUAAUCGGAAUUACUGGGCGUAAAGCGUGCGCAGGCGGUUUUGUAAGUCUGUCGUGAAAUCCCCGGGCUCAACCUGGGAAUGGCGAUGGAGACUGCAAGGCUAGAGUUUGGCAGAGGGGGUAGAAUUCCACGUGUAGCAGUGAAAUGCGUAGAUAUGUGGAGGAACACCGAUGGCGAAGGCAGCCCCCUGGGUCAAAACUGACGCUCAUGCACGAAAGCGUGGGGAG
rnacentral:rRNA from 1 species